rnacentral:rRNA from 1 species
AGAGUUUGAUCAUGGCUCAGGACGAACGCUGGCGGCACGCUUAACACAUGCAAGUCGAACGAGAGAAGAGGAGCUUGCUUUUCUGAUCUAGUGGCGGACGGGUGAGUAACACGUGAGCAAUCUGCCUUUCAGAGGGGGAUACCGAUUGGAAACGAUCGUUAAUACCGCAUAACAUAAUUGAACCGCAUGAUUUGAUUAUCAAAGAUUUAUCGCUGAAAGAUGAGCUCGCGUCUGAUUAGCUAGUUGGUAAGGUAACGGCUUACCAAGGCGACGAUCGGUAGCCGGACUGAGAGGUUGAUCGGCCACAUUGGGACUGAGACACGGCCCAGACUCCUACGGGAGGCAGCAGUGGGGAAUAUUGCACAAUGGAGGAAACUCUGAUGCAGCGAUGCCGCGUGAGGGAAGAAGGUUUUAGGAUUGUAAACCUCUGUCUUCAGGGACGAAAAAAGACGGUACCUGGGGAGGAAGCUCCGGCUAACUACGUGCCAGCAGCCGCGGUAAUACGUAGGGAGCGAGCGUUGUCCGGAAUUACUGGGUGUAAGGGGAGCGUAGGCGGGAUCGCAAGUCAGAUGUGAAAACUAUGGGCUUAACCCAUAAACUGCAUUUGAAACUGUGGUUCUUGAGUGAAGUAGAGGUAAGCGGAAUUCCUAGUGUAGCGGUGAAAUGCGUAGAUAUUAGGAGGAACAUCAGUGGCGAAGGCGGCUUACUGGGCUUUAACUGACGCUGAGGCUCGAAAGCGUGGGGAGCAAACAGGAUUAGAUACCCUGGUAGUCCACGCCGUAAACGAUGAUUACUAGGUGUGGGGGGACUGACCCCUUCCGUGCCGCAGCAAACGCAAUAAGUAAUCCACCUGGGGAGUACGACCGCAAGGUUGAAACUCAAAGGAAUUGACGGGGGCCCGCACAAGCAGUGGAGUAUGUGGAUUAAUUCGAAGCAACGCGAAGAACCUUACCAGGUCUUGACAUCGUAUGCAUAGCUCAGAGAUGAGUGAAAUCUCUUCGGAGACAUAUAGACAGGUGGUGCAUGGUUGUCGUCGGCUCGUGUCGUGAGAUGUUGGGUUAAGUCCCGCAACGAGCGCAACCCUUACUGUUAGUUGCUACGCAAGAGCACUCUAGCAGGACUGCCGUUAACAAAACGGAGGAAGGUGGGGAUGACGUCAAAUCAUCAUGCCCCUUAUGACCUGGGCCUCACACGUACUACAAUGGCUGUCAACAGAGGGAAGCAAAGCCGCGAGGUGGAGCGAACCCCUAAAAGCAGUCUUAGUUCGGAUUGUAGGCUGCAACCCGCCUACAUGAAGUCGGAAUUGCUAGUAAUCGCAGAUCAGCAUGCUGCGGUGAAUACGUUCCCGGGCCUUGUACACACCGCCCGUCACGCCAUGGGAGUCGGUAACACCCGAAGCCUGUAGUCUAACCGCAAGGAGGACGCAGUCGAAGGUGGGAUUGAUGACUGGGGUGAAGUCGUAACAAGGUA